rnacentral:sRNA from 1 species
CCCUAGCCCGGAUGGCAGCGGCAUCCUUUUGUUCCGCUUCUUUAGCGGACAAAAGAUACAGCGUACAGCCGGAACAAGC